ensembl:lncRNA
GUAUUGUUUUGCUAUAACAAAAAUACUGACUACUUUUGCAUGCAGAUAUUCCUGUUAAUACCACUCUGAUAUUUGUGAACCAAAAGAUGGGAAACGUUAGUAAAUAGAUUCAAGAUGACCCAAGGACAAAAAGAGACAAGAAGGCAAUGUGAGGUCUAGAAAAGAGUGGCCACGGAAGGAAGACACCAUGAAGAUUUCAAGCCCAGUGCUACAAGUACUUUUUGCCCCCUUACGAUGUCCUGGAUGUAGGUUUCUACAGUGAAGUAUCCAGAUGUACAGCAAGCAAGUAGAGAACCUAAAGAAGUGGGAUUCUGCUGUCUGUUGUAUUGUUUCAUUUCUCCAUUCUGUAAGAGGUUUUGGUGGCAAGAAUGAGAGGUUUGCUGCAGGAUCUGGAAGGUAC